rnacentral:rRNA from 1 species
AUACGAAGGGGGCAAGCGUUGUUCGGAAUAACUGGGCGUAAAGCGCACGUAGGCGGAAUGUUAAGUUAGAGGUGAAAUCCCAGGGCUCAACCCUGGGACUGCCUUUAAUACUGGCAAUCUAGAGACCGAGAGAGGUGAGUGGAAUUCCGAGUGUAGAGGUGAAAUUCGUAGAUAUUCGGAGGAACACCAGUGGCGAAGGCGGCUCACUGGCUCGGUACUGACGCUGAGGUGCGAAAGCGUGGGGAGCAAACAGGAUUAGAUACCCUUGUAGUCC